AUGAACGCUAGCGACAGGCUUAACACAUGCAAGUCGAGGGGCAGCACAGGUAGCAAUACCGGGUGGCGACCGGCGCACGGGUGAGUAACGCGUAUGCAACUUACCUAUCAGAGGGGGAUAACCCGGCGAAAGUCGGACUAAUACCGCAUGAAGCAGGGGCCCCGCAUGGGGAUAUUUGCUAAAGAUUCAUCGCUGAUAGAUAGGCAUGCGUUCCAUUAGGCAGUUGGCGGGGUAACGGCCCACCAAACCGACGAUGGAUAGGGGUUCUGAGAGGAAGGUCCCCCACAUUGGUACUGAGACACGGACCAAACUCCUACGGGAGGCAGCAGUGAGGAAUAUUGGUCAAUGGGCGUAAGCCUGAACCAGCCAAGUCGCGUGAGGGAUGAAGGUUCUAUGGAUCGUAAACCUCUUUUAUAAGGGAAUAAAGUGCGGGACGUGUCCCGUUUUGUAUGUACCUUAUGAAUAAGGAUCGGCUAACUCCGUGCCAGCAGCCGCGGUAAUACGGAGGAUCCGAGCGUUAUCCGGAUUUAUUAGGUUUAAAGGGUGCGUAGGCGGCCUUUUAAGUCAGCGGUGAAAGUCUGUGGCUCAACCAUAGAAUUGCCGUUGAAACUGGGAGGCUUGAGUAUGUUUGAGGCAGGCGGAAUGCGUGGUGUAGCGGUGAAAUGCUUAGAUAUCACGCAGAACCCCGAUUGCGAAGGCAGCCUGCCAAGCCAUGACUGACGCUGAUGCACGAAAGCGUGGGGAUCAAACAGGAUUAGAUACCCUGGUAGUCCACGCAGUAAACGAUGAUCACUAGCUGUUUGCGAUACAGUGUAAGCGGCACAGCGAAAGCGUUAAGUGAUCCACCUGGGGAGUACGCCGGCAACGGUGAAACUCAAAGGAAUUGACGGGGGCCCGCACAAGCGGAGGAACAUGUGGUUUAAUUCGAUGAUACGCGAGGAACCUUACCCGGGUUUGAACGCAUUCGGACCGAGGUGGAAACACCUCUUCUAGCAAUAGCCGUUUGCGAGGUGCUGCAUGGUUGUCGUCAGCUCGUGUCGUGAGAUGUUGGGUUAAGUCCCGCAACGAGCGCAACCCCUAUUUCCAGUAGCCAGCAGUAAGAUGGGCACUCUGGAGAGACUGCCGGGGAUAACCCGGAGGAAGGUGGGGAUGACGUCAAAUCAUCAUGCCCUUUAUGUCUUGGGCUACACACGUACUACAAUGGCGUUAAACAAAGAGAAGCAAGACCGCGAGGUGGAGCAAAACUCAGAAACAACGUCCCAGUUCGGACUGCAGGCUGCAACUCGCCUGCACGAAGUCGGAAUUGCUAGUAAUCGUGGAUCAGCAUGCCACGGUGAAUACGUUCCCGGGCCUUGUACACACCGCCCGUCACACCAUGAGAGUCGGGAAUACCCGAAGCCUGUGAGCCAACAUAUUUAUAUGAGGCAGCAGUCGAAGGUAGAAUCGAUGAUUGGGGUG
rnacentral:rRNA from 1 species